rnacentral:tRNA from 3 species
AUUUAAAUAGCUUAAAAAUUAGAGCAUGAUGCUGAAGAUGUCAAGGUGGUUGUUAACCUUUAAAUA